rnacentral:rRNA from 1 species
UGACCUCAAAUCAGGCAAG